GACGAACGCUGGCGGCGUGCUUAACACAUGCAAGUCGAACGGAAAGGCCUCUUUCGGGGGGUACUCGAGUUGCGAACGGGUGAGUAACACGUGAGUAACCUGCCCUUGACUUUGGGAUAACUUCAUUAAACUGGGGCUAAUACCGGAUAGGUGCUCCUGUGGCCUGGUGGGGUCUGGAAAGUUUCGGCGGUUUGGGGUGGGCUCGCGGCUUAUCAGCUUUUUGGUGGGGUAGUGGCUUACCAAGGCCUUGCCGGGGAGCCGGACAGAGAGAGUGACCGGCCACACUGGGACUGAGAGACGGCACAGACACCUAAGGGAGGGAGCAGUGGGGAAUAUUGCACGAGGGGUGGCAGGCUGAUGCAGCAAGGCCGUGUGCGGGAUGACGGCCUUAGGGUUGUAAACCGCAUUCGCUAGUGACGAAGCUUUGUGUGACGGUAGUGGGUAAAGAAACACCGGCUAACUACGUG
rnacentral:rRNA from 1 species